UACAGAGGUCCCGAGCGUUGUUCGGAUUCACUGGGCGUAAAGGGUGCGCAGGUGGCAUUGUAAGUUUGAUGUGAAAUCUCCGGGCUUAACCCGGAAAAGGCAUUGAAUACUGCGGUGCUGGAGGUUUGGAGGGGGGACUGGAAUUCUCGGUGUAGCAGUGAAAUGCGUAGAUAUCAGGAGGAACACCGAUGGCGAAGGCAGGUCUCUGGGCUGACACUGACGCUCAUGCACGAAAGCGUGGGGAGCAAACAGG
rnacentral:rRNA from 1 species